rnacentral:ncRNA from 1 species
UCGUCACAACGGCUUCCUGGCGUGGCGACUUGUGAAAUAACGGAGCA